ACAGUUUGAUUCUAGCUGCCCAAUUAAUUAUCUUUAACAAAAAUACAUGCAAAUUUUUUUCCUCCCGUGAGUAAGCCACCUCUUUCUUUAUUUUAAAAAUAAAAUCUUCCCGCCAAGUAUAAGAUAUAACCAAAACACUUAAGCAACCUCACGCCUGCAGUAUUUAAUUCUGCUUCCAUUUACUAAAGUAAGAAACGGGUAAAAGAAAAGAGUUGACCAAAAUCGUGCCAGCAGUCGCGGUUAAACAAUAAACUCAAAUUAAUUUUUCCGGGUUCACUGCGGUAAGAUAUACCCAUGAUAGCAACCAAAGCCCAAAUAAGUUAAAUUUGAUCAGCCAUAACUUCCUAUCACACUUCAACCCCGCGAAAGCUAAGACAAAAACAAGGAUUAGAUACCCUUCUAUUCUUAGCUAUAAAUCACCUCACCAGAGGACUACAAGCUCAUGCUUAAAACUCAAAGAACUUGACGGCCCUUCAACCUCCUAGGGGAACCUGUUUUUUAAUCCGAUACCCCCCGUUCACCUCACUUUGUCUUGCAAUCUCCAGCCUGUGUAUUGCCGUCGUCAGUUUACCUUGCAAAAGACCUAGUAAACCCAAUGAAAUAACUCAUAACGUCAGGUCGAAAUGCAGCCAAUGAUAAAGGAAAAAUGGGUUACAAUCUAAAACUAGAAACGAAAAGAAAGCUUAAACUCUUUCAUGAAGGCGGACUUAAAAGUAAUAAAAAAAAGAAUUCUUUAUGAAUUAGGCCAUCUGAAGCGUGUACACACCGCCCGUCACUCUCACUGAAAAGCGAGAUAAGUCGUAACAAGGUAGGCGUAACGGAAGUUGCGCCUU
rnacentral:rRNA from 1 species